GAUGAACGCUGGCGGCGUGCUUAACACAUGCAAGUCGAACGAAACACCUUAUUUGAUUUUCUUCGGAACUGAAGAUUUGGUGAUUGAGUGGCGGACGGGUGAGUAACGCGUGGGUAACCUGCCCUGUACAGGGGGAUAACAGUCAGAAAUGACUGCUAAUACCGCAUAAGACCACAGCACCGCAUGGUGCAGGGGUAAAAACUCCGGUGGCACAGGAUGGACCCGCGUCUGAUUAGCUGGUUGGUGAGGUAACGGCUCACCAAGGCGACGAUCAGUAGCCGGCUUGAGAGAGUGAACGGCCACAUUGGGACUGAGACACGGCCCAAACUCCUACGGGAGGCAGCAGUGGGGAAUAUUGCACAAUGGGGGAAACCCUGAUGCAGCGACGCCGCGUGAGUGAAGAAGUAUUUCGGUAUGUAAAGCUCUAUCAGCAGGGAAGAAAAUGACGGUACCUGACUAAGAAGCCCCGGCUAACUACGUG
rnacentral:rRNA from 1 species